GGGUAGGUACCCAAGCGGUCAACGGGGGCAGACUGUAAAUCUGCUGGCGGAAGCCUUCGAAGGUUCGAGUCCUUCCCUGCCCA
rnacentral:tRNA from 1 species